rnacentral:rRNA from 1 species
UACAGAGGGUGCGAGCGUUGUCCGGAAUCACUGGGCGUAAAGGCGCGUAGGCGGCUCAGUAAGGUUGCGGUGAAAGCCCGGGGCUCAACCCCGGGUCGGCCGUGGCAACUGCUGGGCUGGAGCACUGGUAGAGGCAGGUGGAAUUCCGGGUGUAGCGGUGGAAUGCGUAGAGAUCCGGAAGAACACCGGUGGCGAAGGCGGCCUGCUGGGCAGUAGCUGACGCUGAUGCGCGACAGCGUGGGGA